CAAGUCGAGCGGAAACGAGUUAUCUGAACCUUCGGGGAACGAUAACGGCGUCGAGCGGCGGACGGGUGAGUAAUGCCUAGGAAAUUGCCCUGAUGUGGGGGAUAACCAUUGGAAACGAUGGCUAAUACCGCAUGAUGCCUACGGGCCAAAGAGGGGGACCUUCGGGCCUCUCGCGUCAGGAUAUGCCUAGGUGGGAUUAGCUAGUUGGUGAGGUAAGGGCUCACCAAGGCGACGAUCCCUAGCUGGUCUGAGAGGAUGAUCAGCCACACUGGAACUGAGACACGGUCCAGACUCCUACGGGAGGCAGCAGUGGGGAAUAUUGCACAAUGGGCGCAAGCCUGAUGCAGCCAUGCCGCGUGUGUGAAGAAGGCCUUCGGGUUGUAAAGCACUUUCAGUCGUGAGGAAGGUGGUGUAGUUAAUAGCUGCAUUAUUUGACGUUAGCGACAGAAGAAGCACCGGCUAACUCCGUGCCAGCAGCCGCGGUAAUACGGAGGGUGCGAGCGUUAAUCGGAAUUACUGGGCGUAAAGCGCAUGCAGGUGGUUUGUUAAGUCAGAUGUGAAAGCCCGGGGCUCAACCUCGGAAUAGCAUUUGAAACUGGCAGACUAGAGUACUGUAGAGGGGGGUAGAAUUUCAGGUGUAGCGGUGAAAUGCGUAGAGAUCUGAAGGAAUACCGGUGGCGAAGGCGGCCCCCUGGACAGAUACUGACACUCAGAUGCGAAAGCGUGGGGAGCAAACAGGAUUAGAUACCCUGGUAGUCCACGCCGUAAACGAUGUCUACUUGGAGGUUGUGGCCUUGAGCCGUGGCUUUCGGAGCUAACGCGUUAAGUAGACCGCCUGGGGAGUACGGUCGCAAGAUUAAAACUCAAAUGAAUUGACGGGGGCCCGCACAAGCGGUGGAGCAUGUGGUUUAAUUCGAUGCAACGCGAAGAACCUUACCUACUCUUGACAUCCAGAGAACUUUCCAGAGAUGGAUUGGUGCCUUCGGGAACUCUGAGACAGGUGCUGCAUGGCUGUCGUCAGCUCGUGUUGUGAAAUGUUGGGUUAAGUCCCGCAACGAGCGCAACCCUU
rnacentral:rRNA from 1 species